AGUGAACGCUGGCGGUAGGCCUAACACAUGCAAGUCGAACGACAGCACAGUAAGAACUUGCUCUUACGUGUGGCGCGUGGCGGAAGGGUGAGUAAUACAUCGAAUUAUACUUUUUAGUGGGGGAUAACGUAGGGAAACUUACGCUAAUACAGCAUACGACCUACGUGUGAAAGCAGGCGUUCUUCUAACCUUGUGCGAUUGAAUGAGCCUAUGUCGGAUUCGCUCGUUGGCGGGGUAAAGGCCCACCAAGGCUACGAUCCGUAGCUGGUAUGAGAGGAUGAGCAGCCAAACUGGAAUUGAGACACGGUCCACAAUCCUACGGGAGGGAGCAGUGGGGAAUAUUGGAGAAUGGGCGCAAGCCUGAUCCAUCCAUACUGCGUGGGUGAAGAAGGCCUUCAUGUUGUAAAGCUCAUUUAUUGGGAAAGAAUAGCAGCAUGUUAAUACCGCGCUGUUCUGGAGGUACCCAAAGGAUAAGCACCGGCUAACUUCGUG
rnacentral:rRNA from 1 species